CCCAUAGAUGUCCUGGGCCGCACGCGCGUUACACUGAUGCAUUCAACGAGCUUAUAACCUUGGCCGAGAGGCCUGGGCAAUCUUGUUAACGUGCAUCGUGAUAGGGAUAGAUUAUUGAAAUUAUUAAUCUUGAACGAGGAAUUCCUAGUAAACGCAGAUCAUCAAUCUGCAUUGAUUACGUCCCUGCCCUUUGUACACACCGCCCGUCGCACCUACCGAUUGGAUGGUCCGGUGAAGCCUCGGGAUUGUGGUUCUUGCCGCUUUAUUGUGGCGUGACCGCGAGAACUUGUCUAAACCUUAUCAUCUAGAGGAAGGUGAAGUCGUAACA
rnacentral:rRNA from 1 species